ACUCUAGAUCUCUUUCCUACUCCCAUUCUGUGGGAUCACCAGAAUUUCUCUAGCAGGAAGGACUCAGAUGGAUCAGACCAUGGCUCUUGAGGGGGUCAUGUGAUAUAAAUAACAUUACCUUAUCAUUGGUUAAUCGUUUUCUAGCCACUACAUUUAAAAGUACGUUGUAUCGGGCCGGACUCGAAAUUCCAAGCCACGGCAUCAUGCACGCACACACAUCCGAAACGUCACCAGUCACGUGCUCUCAGAGAUGGCGGAACAAAGGAACAAGACCGUGGCGCGCAUUAAAAAAAUUCAACUUUAAAUCUGCGGAAGCACGUUGCAGUUCGCAGGGGACGGAACUUCGGAGCUGGUCUCGCGACUCCAUGAUGGGGAUGGGAGCUUCGGUCACGCAGUAUCAUGUGACUGAUGACGUGCGAGGCGUCCCGAGGUGUCAUAGGUUUCGAAUCCUGCCGGCUCUUCGAAACUUGUAGAGAUGGCCUGGCACAUAGGAUGCUGAGUUUCCAUUCUGUUGUUGUGAAUCGCUUUGGAUAAAAGCAUCUCCCAAAUGAAUAAAUGCAAAAUAUUA